GAUGAACGCUGGCGGCGUGCUUAACACAUGCAAGUCGAACGAAACACCUUAUUUGAUUUUCUUCGGAACUGAAGAUUUGGUGAUUGAGUGGCGGACGGGUGAGUAACGCGUGGGUAACCUGCCCUGUACAGGGGGAUAACAGUCAGAAAUGACUGCUAAUACCGCAUAAGACCACAGCACCGCAUGGUGCAGUGGUAAAAACUCCGGUGGUACAGGAUGGACCCGCGUCUGAUUAGCUGGUUGGUGAGGUAACGGCUCACCAAGGCGACGAUCAGUAGCCGGAUUGAGAGAGUGAACGGCAACAUUGGGACUGAGACACGGACCAAACUCCUACGGGAGGCAGAAGGGGGGAAGAUUGCACAAUGGGGGAAACCCUGAGGUAGCGACGCCGCGUGAUGAAGAAGUAUUUCGGUAUGUAAAGCUCUAUCAGCAGGGAAGAAAAUGACGGUACCUGACGAAGAAGCCCCGGCUAACUACGUG
rnacentral:rRNA from 1 species